UAGUUGCAUUUUAUUUUCAGCUGCAUCUUUUAUGUUUGCUUAUGUUAUUUACUGUGUACUUGAGAAAAAACUGUCUACUUUAAUUGAUUUUGUAACGGAACGGAAUCAAUGAGUUAAGUAGAUCUGAUCACACAGUAGUGUAAAAAAUGACGCUUUUCGCCAUAGUUUUAGAUUUUCGGAUAGAAUUAUUUUCUAUAUUAUUUUAAAAUUAUUUGACAUCUACCCUAUAUCCCUUGUUUUAAAUUUAUUGACUGGACUUUUAACUAUUCAAAUCGUGAACUUUUUUUACAAUUCUACCCUCAGUUUAGAAUAUUUUCUUUUUAAAUAAUGAUUCUACUUGAGUAAGCAAAUUAUUAUAUUUGCUGCCUCUUUGAAUGAAAGGUGGCCUUAUUAUUCUCUAAAUCUAUGAUAAGGCCUAUUAUGAUUGAAAGUAUGAAAGAUUUUUGCAAGAGAAGUAUGAAUGUGUAUGUAGUUUCUUUUAGUUAUGAAGAAGUAUUAGUUAAGCUGCGGAUUUUGACUUUUAGGAGGUCAAAAUCCUUGGGCAGAAAGGGGGGUAAUGUAACGUUAUUUAUUUCUUCCAAAUAAAUAACUUACAUCAUAGUAAUUAACUUAAUAAUUUUAUUGUAAAUUCCCUUUUUUAAAGUAUCGACUUUAUCGAUAACUUAAUCUUCGGCGUCGAUAAUUCUUCAAAUUAUCGACGCGUUCCCAUCCCUAGUCAGCGAAGCGGUCUUUUGUUCUUGUCCCCACUAUCGCGGCAGCCCCACUCAGUGACCACUGGCUCUCGAUCAUUCGUCCACGGGCUACGGCAUCGACUGCGCGUGACCCUACCUCACGGCAGUCCUCUAGGUGCCUAGCCCGCUCUAAAGUGUCGAAUGACCUAGACUUUACCAGUGGUACCUUGUGCGUGUCUUCCCCAAUAUCGGGGUCCAAGGUCCACGCUACUACUCCAAGGUCCACGCUUACGUCCACGGUACGGUUUACCGACUGCACGGAACUACCUACUUCUACGGCUCGCCCUCUACGUGCUGGUUCGGCAACCCCCUACCUUCGUGUUGCUGACCACGCCGUGCAGCCGAGCUACACGCCACGCGCACGCAACGGCCACGUGACCUGCCUGCCUACCUACCUGGGCACUGGAGAAGAGGACUUCCACGCCGGUCACGUUAUCGGGGUUCCACGCCGAUACUCUUCGACUCAGGGGAGUCCCUAUCCGUGCCAACUGAAAACUGACUGAUCGUGUAGUGUAGGCCUAACCCACGUUGACCUAUAAAUAAAUUUGUGUCAAGCUGAA